rnacentral:rRNA from 1 species
UACGUAGGGUGCGAGCGUUUAAUCGGAAUUACUGGGCGUAAAGCGUGCGCAGGCGGUGAUGUAAGACCGAUGUGAAAUCCCCGGGCUUAACCUGGGAACUGCAUUGGUGACUGCAUUGCUGGAGUAUGGCAGAGGGGGGGUGGAAUUCCACGUGUAGCAGUGAAAUGCGUAGAGAUGUGGAGGAACACCGAUGGCGAAGGCAGCCUCCUGGGCCAGCACUGACGCUCAUGCACGAAAGCGUGGGGAGCAAACAGG